rnacentral:misc_RNA from 1 species
UCUGGGGCUUAUAUAAAUAGAAGACUGUUUAAUUGUACACAAGGAUUGAUCAAAACAACAACAUUCUGUUGGCUAAUUCUUACCACUUAUUCACCACUCUUAUUGCCAAAAUCAGCAGCAGCUUGGGCUGCACGUGUCAAUACGUCAGAAACCCAAACAGCUCCCUUAGCAAAGUAACUGCUAUUCACCACAGCAUUAGCAGCUGCUACAGCUACCUUUCCUGUAUAAGUAGCUGCAACUACAGCUGCUGUCCCUGUAACUAAUACCGCUGAUGCAGUGAUAUCCGAGACAUGGUACUUCUGGUCGACCGAUUUCACAGUUUCCAUGCCAGCUUGUAUCUUAUCUGUGAGUCCAAUUCUGUUGCUAAGCUCAGCCACUUUGGCUGCUGCAGUAGUUGAGACUUGAUGAGAUUCAUCAAAAGCUUUGGCUUUGAUCAAUGCGUCUUUUCCUAAAACGUAUCCUUUGGCUAGCAUUGUCUUGACAACUUCCUGAGCCACAAUCACUACUUCUCCAGGGGAAGAAGUAUGCUGGUUCAU